AGAGAGAGAGAGAGAGAAAUCAAUGUCAUAAUUGAAGUCUUUUUGCAGACAACAAAGGCUAAUCAUCACUUAUGGAGGAGGGAAAUGGUUUAACCUGUCUUGUCAAUUGCUAGGAUCUUAAAUUAAACUAGAUUGGGGAGGAGAAAGGUUUAGAAUUGGGGUUUGAAUGAUCUUAAGCUUAGUCUUCUGAUGUGUGCCCAUGUGAUGUUUUCUUUUAUCCUUCUAUAAUAUUAUAUGCUGUAAUUCUAUAAUAUUAUAUGCUGUAA
rnacentral:misc_RNA from 1 species